UACGUAGGCAGCAAGCGUUGUUCGGAGUUACUGGGCGUAAAGGGUGCGUAGGCGGCUUCUUAAGUCUGGUGUGAAAUCUCCCGGCUCAACUGGGAGGGUGCGCCGGAUACUGAGGGGCUAGAGUGUGGGAGAGGAAAGUGGAAUUCCUGGUGUAGCGGUGAAAUGCGUAGAUAUCAGGAGGAACACCUGCGGUGUAGACGGCUUUCUGGACCAUUGUUGACGCUGAGACACGAAAGCGUGGGUAGCAAACAGG
rnacentral:rRNA from 1 species